rnacentral:rRNA from 1 species
CCCUUAGAUGUUCUGGGCCGCACGCGUGCUACACUGAGUGGAUCAGCGGGUCAGGUUGCGCGAAAGUGUUUCCUAAUCUUGAAAUCCGCUCGUGAUGGGGAUUGACGGUUGCAAUUUUCUGUCAUGAACGAGGAAUACCUUGUAAGCGCGGGUCAUCAUCCCGCGCUGAAUACGUCCCUGCCCUUUGUACACACCGCCCGUCGCUCCUACCGAUUGAGUGGUCCGGUGAGGCUUUGGGAUCUGGAUGGAAAGAGCGUUUCGCUGUUUCUGCCCGGAAAACUCAGUCGAACCUGAUCAUUGAGAGGAAGGAGAAGUCGUAACA